rnacentral:rRNA from 1 species
AAUGAACGCUGGCGGCAUGCCUAACACAUGCAAGUCGAACGAGACCUUCGGGUCUAGUGGCGCACGGGUGCGUAACGCGUGGGAAUCUGCCCUUGGGUUCGGAAUAACAGUUAGAAAUGACUGCUAAUACCGGAUGAUGUCGAAAGACCAAAGAUUUAUCGCCCGAGGGUGAGCCCGCGUAGGAUUAGCUAGUUGGUGAGGUAAAGGCUCAUCAAGGCGACGAUCCUUAGCUGGUCUGAGAGGAUGAUCAGCCACACUGGGACUGAGACACGGCCCAGGCUCCUACGGGAGGCAGCAGUGGGGAAUAUUGGACAAUGGGCGAAAGCCUGAUCCAGCAAUGCCGCGUGAGUGAUGAAGGCCUUAGGGUAGUAAAGCUCUUUUACCCGGGAUGAUAAUGACAGUACCGGGAGAAUAAGCUCCGGCUAACUUCGCGCCAGCAGCCGCCGUAA